rnacentral:rRNA from 1 species
AUGGCGUCCGCCCCCGCCGCCGCCCCUGCCGUCACCUUCCAGCCCGGCCGGCGCGCCCCGCUGCCGCCCCGCUGCACGCAUUCCGAGCGCGGCGUCUCCUUCGACCCCGGCUCCGCCUUCUACCGCAGCGACAGCGCCCCGGGCCGCGACCUCGCCGUCCUCGCCGCCACCCUCCACCGCCGGCGCCGCCCCGACCCCUCCGCCCCUUUCCUGUGCCUCGACGCGAUGUGCGGCUCCGGCGUCCGCGCGCUCCGCUACCUCGCGCAGGCCGGCGCCGACUUCGUCUGGGCCAACGACGCCUCCGACGCGCUCCACCCGGUCAUCGUCGGCAACCUCUCUCGCUUCGAGCCCGUGCCUCCCGAAGGGCAGAGGCGGUGGGUGGUGUCGCACCUCGACGCCACCCGGCUGCUCGCCGAGAGGUACCUCCGCCGCGAAUACUUCGACGUCAUCGACGUCGACUCGUUCGGCAGCGAGGCCGAGUACAUCCGGGCGGCCUUCCUGGCGCUCAAGAUUGGGGGCCUUCUCUACCUCACCUCCACCGAUUGGCGGUCGGCAAGAGGUUAUGGCGGAAAAUGCUCACUGUCUUCAUACGGAGCAUACGUUCUUCCAGUGCCAUAUCCGAAUGAGAUUGGUUUGCGAAUGCUUUUAGGUGGGGCUGCCCGUGAAGCAGCAAUGCUGGGAUUUCACAUAAAACCAGUAUUCUCUUAUUACGCGUACCAUGGUCCAAUUUUUCGAGCGAUGGUACAAUUAUGCCAUGGAAAAGAAGAUGGCAUCAGCAAUUAUGGUUUCAUUUGUCAUUGCAAGAGUUGCGGCCAGUCUCAGACUUUUGGAUUUGACGAAUUGGGGCAGAUUUCUUGCGGAUGUGCAAAUAGAACAGAUGCCACUUCAAUCACAGUUGUAGGCCCACUUUGGACAGGUCCUCUCCAUGAUCGCUCUUCCAUUACCGAAAUGCUAAACUUGGCUGUAGAAUGGGGAUGGGCACACACAAGUGAGAAUGGUGUCACUUUGGAAAAACUUCUUGGCACCAUGAUUGAGGAGAGUGACCCAAGGUUACCGCCUGGAUAUAUAAGACUUGAUGAGAUUGCCAGCCGAGCAAAAGUUAACUCUCCACCGCUCGGUACACUCAUCCAUUCAUUGCAGAAGGAAGGUUAUGCUGCUUGUAGAUCUCAUAUAGGUGCCAAUGCUGUCAAGACCAACUCUCCCAUCAGUUCUUGCAUUGUGGUUGCACGGGAGAUCCGAAAUUUGCGAUAA